GAUGAACGCUGGCAGAAUGCUUAACACAUGCAAGUCGAUGGGGAAGUGGUGCUUGCACCAUGGCAACCAUGGCGGACGGGUGAGUAACGCGUAAGGGACUUACCUGCAGGACUGGGAUAACAGGGGGAAACUCCUGACAAGACCGGAUAAUGUCAUGGAGCUGCAUGGCUUUAUGAUGAAAGGAGACGCCUGCGGAGAGCCUUGCGUCCUAUUAGCUAGUUGGUGAGGUAAUGGCUCACCAAGGCGAAGAUAGGUAGCCGGCCUGAGAGGGUGGACGGCCACAAGGGGACUGAGAUACGGCCCUUACUCCUACGGGAGGCAGCAGUGGGGAAUAUUGGACAAUGGGGGCAACCCUGAUCCAGCAAUUCUGUGUGCACGAAGAAGGUUUUCGGAUUGUAAAGUGCUUUCAGCAGGGAAGAAGUAAGUGACGGUACCUGCAGAAGAAGCGACGGCUAAAUACGUG
rnacentral:rRNA from 1 species